rnacentral:rRNA from 1 species
ACCGGCUUUUUGGGAUUCGCUCCACCUUACGGUAUCGCAGCCCUCUGUACCGGCCAUUGUAGCAUGCGUGAAGCCCAAGACAUAAGGGGCAUGAUGAUUUGACGUCAUCCCCACCUUCCUCCGAGUUGACCCCGGCAGUCUCCCAUGAGUCCCCGGCAUAACCCGCUGGCAACAUAGGACGAGGGUUGCGCUCGUUGCGGGACUUAACCCAACAUCUCACGACACGAGCUGACGACAACCAUGCACCACCUGUGUACGAGUGUCCAAAGAGAACCCCGUCUCGGGGGCUUUCUCGUACAUGUCAAGCCUUGGUAAGGUUCUUCGCGUUGCAUCGAAUUAAUCCGCAUGCUCCGCCGCUUGUGCGGGCCCCCGUCAAUUCCUUUGAGUUUUAGCCUUGCGGCCGUACUCCCCAGGCGGGGCACUUAAUGCGUUAGCUGCGGCACGGAACUCGUGGAAUGAGCCCCACACCUAGUGCCCAACGUUUACGGCAUGGACUACCAGGGUAUCUAAUCCUGUUCGCUCCCCAUGCUUUCGCUCCUCAGCGUCAGUUGCGGCCCAGAGACCUGCCUUCGCCAUCGGUGUUCCUCCUGAUAUCUGCGCAUUCCACCGCUACACCAGGAAUUCCAGUCUCCCCUACCGCACUCUAGUCUGCCCGUACCCGAUGCAAGCCCGAGGUUGAGCCUCGGGAUUUCACACCAGACGCGACAGACCGCCUACGAGCUCUUUACGCCCAAUAAUUCCGGACAACGCUUGCGCCCUACGUAUUACCGCGGCUGCUGGCACGUAGUUAGCCGGCGCUUCUUCUGCAGGUACCGUCACUUGCGCUUCUUCCCUGCUGAAAGAGGUUUACAACCCGAAGGCCGUCAUCCCUCGCGCGGCGUCGCUGCAUCAGGCUUGCGCCCAUUGUGCAAUAUUCCCCACUGCUGCCUCCCGUAGGAGUCUGGGCCGUGUCUCAGUCCCAGUGUGGCCGGUCGCCCUCUCAGGCCGGCUACCCGUCGACGCCUUGGUAGGCCAUCACCCCACCAACAAGCUGAUAGGCCGCGAGCCCAUCCCCCACCGAAAAACUUUCCAACCCACACCAUGCGAUGCGAGCUCAUAUCCGGUAUUAGACCCCGUUUCCAAGGCUUAUCCCGAAGUGGAGGGCAGGUUGCUCACGUGUUACUCACCCGUUCGCCACUGAUCCACCCAGCAAGCUGGGCUUCACCG